rnacentral:rRNA from 1 species
AUUAGCCAUGCAUGUCUAAGUAUAAGCAAUUAUACCGUGAAACUGCGAAUGGCUCAUUAAAUCAGUUAUCGUUUAUUUGAUAGUACCUUACUACUUGGAUACCCGUGGUAAUUCUAGAGCUAAUACAUGCUGAAAACCCCAACUUCGGGAGGGGUGUAUUUAUUAGAUAAAAAACCAACGCCCUUCGGGGCUUCUUGGUGAUUCAUGAUAACUUUACGGAUCGCAUGGCCUUGCGCCGGCGACGGUUCAUUCAAAUUUCUGCCCUAUCAACUUUCGAUGGUAAGGUAUUGGCUUACCAUGGUUUCAACGGGUAACGGGGAAUUAGGGUUCGAUUCCGGAGAGGGAGCCUGAGAAACGGCUACCACAUCCAAGGAAGGCAGCAGGCGCGCAAAUUACCCAAUCCCGACACGGGGAGGUAGUGACAAUAAAUACUGAUACAGGGCUCUUUUGGGUCUUGUAAUUGGAAUGAGUACAAUUUAAACCUCUUAACGAGGAACAAUUGGAGGGCAAGUCUGGUGCCAGCAGCCGCGGUAAUUCCAGCUCCAAUAGCGUAUAUUAAAGUUGUUGCAGUUAAAAAGCUCGUAGUUGAAACUUGGGUCUGGCUGGCAGGUCCGCCUCACCGCGUGUACUUGUCCGGCCGGGCCUUCCUUCUGGAGAACCUCAUGCCCUUCACUGGGCGUGUUGGGGACCAGGACUUUUACUUUGAAAAAAUUAGAGUGUUCAAAGCAGGCCUUUGCUCGAAUACGUUAGCAUGGAAUAAUAGAAUAGGACGUGCGGUCCUAUUUUGUUGGUUUCUAGGACCGCCGUAAUGAUUAAUAGGGACAGUCGGGGGCAUCAGUAUUCAAUUGUCAGAGGUGAAAUUCUUGGAUUUAUUGAAGACUAACUACUGCGAAAGCAUUUGCCAAGGAUGUUUUCAUUAAUCAGUGAACGAAAGUUAGGGGAUCGAAGACGAUCAGAUACCGUCGUAGUCUUAACCGUAAACUAUGCCGACUAGGGAUCGGGCGAUGUUCUUUUUCUGACUCGCUCGGCACCUUACGAGAAAUCAAAGUUUUUGGGUUCUGGGGGGAGUAUGGUCGCAA